rnacentral:lncRNA from 1 species
CCGGCGGCUGUUCUCCUACCAGUCGAAAAAUAGUAAGCUUUCUUCCUGGUUUUGGGUUUACUUUGGUCUGCUUUAGUUAGUGGUUGUGUUGACAUUUGGCCCUUACUGUUUCAGAUUUCCUGACAGAGAAGAAGGAGGCCCUGAAAGGGGAUGGGAGCAAGAAGUCUGAAUCGAAGGGUAUGUUUUGAUUCUGAGUUGCAUUGCACAAUAUUUUUAUAGUUUGGGAAAUCCUUGAAGUUGUCUAUGGAACCUUUCCUUGAUGUGAUGGCCAAGCAUAUUUGUUUACUAAACCAAUGUUCCAGAUUACCUUCAUCGGCAAUUCUAAAUAUUUCUUUGAUGUCUUACCACAAGCAUUAUAUCUUAAAAACAUAUAAUAUAGCUAAAUACCCGUGCGUUGCUACGGGAUUGAACAAUAUUUAAA